rnacentral:lncRNA from 1 species
UUGAUAUUGAAUUAAAGUAAGGCGUAUUGUCUUCUCUUCAUCGUUCCUCAUUGAACAACUUUGAACUUAUCAAGUGUUAACUUGUGGCGUUCAAACAACCAGAUUUAAUUCUUGGAUUACAUGAUCAAGGGGUCUUUCAAGCGUCGUUCUUGUUGGAUUUUUUGGUUCGACUUUCUUUUUGGUUAAUCCUCUUGGGUUCGUCAAUCUCGUUGUGGGUUUCGUAGUCAACGUUGCUACGGGGUUCGCAUCACUAGCCAAUUGAGCCUUCAAAUUUUCAAUACGAUCUUUGUUGGGGCUUGCUACCAACAUGUCGUCAACAUACAACAGCAAGAUAAUGAAAUCGUUAUCACCAAAUCUCAUGUAGUAUGCACACAUAUCUGAAUAGAGUCUGUUGUAUCCAAAGCUCAUGAUAAAGGAAUCAAAUCUCUUAUAGCAACAUCUCAGUGCCUAUUUAAGACCGUAUAGAGAUCUGUUCAACCAAGUUCUCUUUACCUUUUUCUUCAAAACCUUCUGGUUGGAGCAUAUAAAUUUCUUCUUCAAAUUCUCCAUGAAGAAAUGUAGUUUUCAUAUCUAACUGCUCUAGGUGUAAGUCAAAUGUAGCACACAUCGCUAGGACUACUCGACCUGUUGUGAGUCGAACCACAGGAGAAAAUAUUUCAUUGAAGUCAAUGCCUUCUUUAUGAGCAUAUCCCUUCACCACCAGUCUUGCACGAUACCGCUCCACUUGGUCAUUGUCAUCUCGUUUGAUCUUAUAGACCCAUUUAUUUCCAAUGGCCUUCCUUCCUUGUGGUAGCAAAACAAGAUCCCAUGUCUUGUUCUUAUGAAGAGCUUCAAUUUCUUCUUGCAUUGCUGCCAUCCAUAGAGAAACUUCUUGACUAUUUAUAGCCUCAUGGAAAGUUGAUGGCUCUCCAUCUUCUGUUAGUAAGCAGCAUGCAACGUUGCCCUCUAUUAUGUAAUCUGAGUGCCAAAUCGGUUCUUUUCUCUCCAGGUUGAUCGUCGAACAUCUGGAGCACUAGAUUCAGCUUGUUCUUCGUGCUCUAGUGUUGCUUCAGAAGUAUCUAUAACUUUUCGUUCGUCUCCAACUUCGACUGUAGUAGUCUCAGGUUUUUCUUUUGAAGUGCUAUCAUUUCCUUUUUCCUGUAUUUUGCCUUCCGCAAAUAUGACAUCUCUGCUGAUUAUCACCUUGUGGGCAGUAGGAUCCCAUAGGCGGUACCCCUUCACUCCAUCAACAUACCCUAAGAAAAUACAUUUUCUGGAUUUUGGAUCCAGCUUUGAUGUUUCUUGGGUGUUGUACAUAGCGUACACAAGACUUCCAAACACAUGUAAGUGAGAAUAAUCAGCUGGUUUACCCGUCCACAUUUCCAUAGGCGUCUUCAGAUCAGUUGCGGUUGAUGAUGACCAAUUGAUCACAUAACAGGCGGUUUUGACUACUUCUACCCAAAAUGACUUGGCUAACCCCACAGUCCUCAACAUUGCCCUUGUUCUUUCUAACAAUGUUCUGUUCAUCCGCUCUGCAACUCCAUUUUGCUGUGAAGUGUGUGCCACAGUGAACUGUCUCUUGAUACCUUCUUGUUUAAAGAAGUUAUCAAAUUCAUCACCAGUAUAUUCUCCUCCAUUGUCAGUCCUCAGACACUUGAUCUUUUUUUCAGAUUCAAGCUUCACAUGCACUUUGAAUAUUUUGAAGACUCCGAACACGUCUGCCUUCCUUUUGAUUGGAUACACCCAACAUCUCCUGGAGUAAUCAUCAAUAAAAGAUACAAAGUAUCUUGCACCUCCUAGGGAUAUAACCGAUGCUUGCCAAACAUCGGAAUGGACCAGCUCCAAGAUAGCUUUACUUGUAGCAGUGGAAUUGCUGAACUUCAAUUUGUGCUGCUUACUAGUAACAAUGCUCACAAAAGGGUAAUGAAACCUUUUUGAGCCCUAGAAGAAGUUUUUGUUCUGAGAGAAUUUUCAAACCACGUUCCGACAUGUGACCAAGUUUACGAUUCCACAUCACCGUUAAUUCUUCUGCUGAACCUAUCGAUGAGAUAGAUGCUUCUCCUUCUUGUAGUGUUUCUUCUUUAAGCAUGUACAAAUUUACAGCUAUCUUUUCCGCUUUCAUUACCACUAGCGCGCCUUUAACUAUUUUCAUGAUCCCAUCUUAUAUAUGGGUCUUGCAUCCAAUGUUGUCCAAUUGUCCUAGAGACAAUAAAUUCUACUUUAGGCCUUUUACGUGCCGUACUUCCUGGAUAGUGCGAAUUAUACCAUCAUACAUCUUCAAUUUGAUGGUACCAAUACCAGCGAUCUCCAAGGCAUGAUCAUUUCCCAUAAACACAGAUCUUCCUGAGAUAGUCUCAUAUUGAUGAAAUUAUUCCCUUAUUGGUGUCAUGUGCCAUGUAGCUCCUGAAUCCAUAAGCUAGACAUCAAAAAUUUUUUUCUGCCUUCAACAACUAUUGUUGCCUCGCUGUAUAAAAUUUCACCAUCAUCUGAGGUGCUUGCUACACAACUCUGAGCUUUUGAUGUCUCAUGACCUUUUCCUUUGGCUUCUUCAUUCUUCUUGAGACUCCAAAAAUCCCUUUUUAAGUGCCCUUUCUUGCCUCUCAUCAUCGUUAAAGCUUCUACCUGAUGUGAACUUGUCAAUCUGUCCUCCUUGUUCUUGCGCCUACUUUCCUCUUCAAGAAUAGCAGCUGCAACAUCAUCGAAGACUAGAGUUUCAAGGUUGUUGGUCAAGUUAAUGAUGAGUUGAUCAUACGAAUCUGGUAGACUUUGAAGUAAGAUUUCAGCACGUUCACCCGCCUCUAUAUUAUGCUCCAUUGAUGUGAGUUGUGAAAAUAGAGUAUUGAGGGUGUUGAUAUGGUCUGUCACCGUAGUUGACUCCAUCAUCCUGAGGGUGUAAAGCUUUCUCUUUAAGAAGAUUUUGUUGUGUAACGAUUUCGCCUCGUUCAGCUUUAUUAGCGUAUCCCAUAUCUCUUUGGCCGUCUUUUUCUCCGCCACACUUGACAAUACUCCAUCGGCUAGUGCAAGGUGCAAAUUAGCAACUGCGUUGCUAUCCAUCUCGUUCCACUUAGUAUCGUUAAUGAUCUCCACUGGCCUUUGUCCAAUUGCUGCCAAAUAGUUAUCUUUUCACAAAACUACUUUUAUUCUCAUUUUCCAUAAUGAGAAAUUGUUCUCAUUGAACUUUUCAAUCUCAUAUUUUGUCGUCAUUUUUCACCAAUACUAUGAUUGAACAACGACCCUACACAGAACCUUGCUCUAAUACCACUGUUGGGGAGAAAACGUGUGAGUCGACUUUGGCUGACAAAUAAUGGAAUUGAGAAAAUGCAGCUAAAAUGGACCCAAGUAUUUACGUGGUUCACCCAAUUUAGGUUACG